rnacentral:piRNA from 1 species
GACAUGAUCUUCCGGGCUUGUGGAGA